rnacentral:lncRNA from 1 species
CAGACUUUUUCACAUGUGUUCUGGGCAUCAAACGCAGGCUCUCCUCAGGCUCCAUUCCCAGCGAUCACAUGGUGGCUCACACCCAUCUGUAACUGUUCUUCCAGGGAAACUGCCACCCUCUUCUGGUCUCUGCUGGCACCAGGUGUGUAUGUGGUGCAUACACAUACAUGUAGGCAAAACAUCCAUGCACAUAAAAUGAGAAAUAAAAAUAGUUAUACCCCCAGAACCCUCAGACUUUGUCUUGGUGCUUGCAGGCCAGAACUUUUCCAAUUGAGCUGUUUUUUCAGCCCCUUGACAGUAUAAUCUUUAAAACCCAGGUUGGUUUUCCCUACAACUCAGCAGAUUAAAAAAAAAAA